rnacentral:rRNA from 1 species
UACGGAGGGUGCAAACGUUGCUCGGAAUCAUUGGGCGUAAAGCGCACGUAGGCGGUCUUUUAAGUCGGAUGUGAAAGCCCCAGGCUCAACCUGGGAAGUGCAUCGGAAACUGAAAGGCUAGAGUACGGAAGAGGGUCUCGGAAUUCCCGGUGUAGAGGUGAAAUGCGUAGAUAUCAGGAGGAAUACCGAUGGCGAAGGCAGGUCUCUGGGCUGACACUGACGCUCAUGCACGAAAGCGUGGGGAGCAAACAG